rnacentral:rRNA from 1 species
UACAGAGGGUGCAAGCGUUAAUCGGAAUUACUGGGCGUAAAGCGUGCGUUGACGGUAGCGUAAGUCGGGUGUGAAAGCCCCGGGCUCAACCUGGGAAUUGCAUUCGAGACUGCUCUGCUAGGGUGCGGAAGAGGGAAGCGGAAUUUCCGGUGUAGCGGUGAAAUGCGUAGAUAUCGGAAGGAACACCAGUGGCGAAAGCGGCUUCCUGGUCCAGCACCGACGUUCAGGCACGAAAGCGUGGGGAGCAAACAGG